rnacentral:rRNA from 1 species
CAAUAGCGUAUAUUUAAGUUGUUGCAGUUAAAAAGCUCGUAGUCGGAUUUUGGCUGAGAACGAUCGGUCCGCCGUUAGGUGUGCACUGAUUGGUCUCAGCUUCCUGGUGAGGAGGUGUGCUUCACGGCCACUUAGUCACCGUGGUUACUUUGAAAAAAGUAGAGUGUUCAAAGCGGGCUUACGCUUGAAUAUAUUAGCAUGGAAUAACACCAUAGGACUCCUGUCCUAUUUCGUUGGUCUCGGGACGGGAGUAAUGAUUAAGAGGAACAGUUGGGGGCAUUCGUAUUUCAUUGUCAGAGGUGAAAUUCUUGGAUUUAUGAAAGACGAACUUCUGCGAAAGCAUUUGCCAAGGAUGUUUUCAUUGA